AAGCAAGUGCUUGGCUUUACGUGGCCUUAAACUGCCCCAUGGUUAAAAUUGAUUGGAUUCAUUUGUCUAUAGGUUGGGAUGAGCCUUGACCCUGUAAUCUUUGCUUUUGUGGCCUUUGUGUCAAUGACGGCGUUGGCAUCUUUUGUCUUGGUUAUCCGGACAUUCUGCUUCCCACUCAGUGAGACCAACCAUCAAUACCUUUCGCUCAGACAGCUGAAUGAGGAAAGUCCAGCGAUGUCAGCGGAAGCACAAUACAACUCAGAUGAGGAUCUGCUGGAAUAGCAGCCCAAUGACUGCUGGAAGUGAGACCAUGCCAUGACUGCUAGAGCAUUCUUAAAACACACUGACAGUUUAACCAAACCCCCUUGAACAAGUGUAAAACCUCAAAUCUUUGCAAGGCAUAUUCAUAUUCUCGUCUGUUAUCUUGAUCUUGACAAAAUAAGCCGAGGUGUUCUGUGCGUUUUGGCUAGACGACAACAGCACUGACAAUCCAUGUUACAAAUUGUUCCCGACACAGCUGCACAUGUGAAAAAAGCCGUUUCUAGCUGAUGCGAUAUCCUCUCACUGGUCAUUUCUGACAUGACACGAAAUAUAAUAGACUUCAAGCAAUGAAUACCAAAAAAAAAAGAGAAACACCAUUUCACUAGCAACGCAGUAAAGGUCACUAAUUGUCGCAUGUGCAUUUUCAUUUCUAACGGCAGGCUGAAAAUGGCUGUUGAAUAUAUACAACACUAUCAUGUUAUAAAAUAAGUGGCGUCACGUGGCCAUCUGACAUUUGGGGUGUCUCAAACGCCAUAAUUGACUUCUAAAAAUAGUCCGCUCUGUCUGCGAGUGGGCCGGCUUCCCUUUUUCAAGCCUUAUUUUCCUUUUUUCCUGCUUACAUUAGCUGACUUGAAAGGACAAGAAAAAACGAUCAAUGUGACUGCAGAGUUUUUCCCAGAAGCCGGAAUACACACGUGCCACAAAAGCAAACUCAUAUUUUAACAUGUAGUAUUCAGUGUGUGUCUAGUUUCUGGUAAUAUUUGAACUUAUACCAAUACCCUCUCUGUACCAUUUAUGCAUUCAAACUCCGCACAGGAUGUCCUGGGCUCAGGGUCGAACCCAGAACAUGGCUGUGAGGCAAAUGUGCUAACCAAUUGGUCACCGUGCUGCUUCUAAAGACUUUUGAUUGUGUUGUUUUAGUCUUCCCCAAAAACAUAUUUAUUAGAAAAAAAUCCACAACAGAGCCAAUUCUCUUGCCAAUUGAUGUAAAUAUCCUAAUAGUUUGAAUGUGUUAAUGGCAGUGCAAAGACGCCCUAUGCUGGCCGUGCGCGGUAUUACAUCGCUUGACCUUGUUCAUGUAUAACAAAGUAAACCUCUUCCCUCACUGUUUAAGGCACACUUUAGAUGUAAAAGUUCUAUAUUAUGGGACCUUGUGCUUUCUUGAUUUAACGGCCUUUUCACCAUUACUAUUGGUGUGUGUGUGCUUUACAAAUAUGUUUGUUAUCAAUACAAACAAGGGUUUAUCUUGUUUUUUCAUUGGUCUUCUAGUAGUGACUGUGAAGUCCUUUUAUACCUAACCAUAACAUAUUUU